CAGGCCACACUUCAACUAAAACGACUCAGAGCUCAUCCCUCUAGUUCUUCAUCCCUUCCCCAGCCCUUUCCUCCUUUUAAUGCUCCAAGAAACUGGGGCCUUGGAGAACCUUCGGGCACCCAUUUACUGGCGCCCUAAUAUAGGAUGUACCGUCCAAGGGCUGGGUUCCUGGACUGAAUGAAAGCAGCAAAUUAUUUGAGCAGGAGCAUCCAUUUCUCUCUGCUUCUGUACUAUGGAUGUGGUGUGACUAGCUGCCUGGAGCUCCUGCCACCGUGAUUUUCUCACGAGGGUUGUGUAUCCAGGUGUCUUCCACAGACAGUUCCUGGCUGGCCCAGACUAUGUGUCCAUGGAACUCUGUUGAUGAGCACCUUGCCCAGGACUCUGGAUGUUAAUGAAGUCUAAUGUGAAAGCUGGUAUCUCUGCAGUUGCUGCAUAUGCAGUUCAUUUCUCUUUUAAUUUUGGGCUUCGCAAAGAAGCCUUGUAGGUAAAGAGAGAGGCAGAGGCAGCCUUUGAUGCCAGAGAUCUCCCACCUACCUAUCCUAUUCUCUGUUCUGCUCUCUUGGGGAGGGCUGUGAUUGGCAGUUAGAAGAGAGCAGUAUUCAGAGCUGUGCCUCCCUUGUAGAACACCUCCAGAAAAGCAGCAGAUUCUAACUUUUUAAGUCCUGUGAAUAGCCCUAGGCUUCUCUUCUACAGCAUCAGGCAGGGUCAGGGGAGGCAGCUGGGCAUAGGGUGGCUUCUGUUUUUAAAAUUACAAAUGUAUUGUUAGCUUCGAAUGAAAAGAGCAUGGAGACAUAGACAUGUCAAAUGUAACCACACUCUAAUUCUUCAUCCUGCAGUAGUCAGGUAGAGGUGGUAAAGGACAGUGUAACCUGUACCUUUCCCUGCCAGCUACCUGGGUCUCGCCACUGUCUCAGCAUCCAAAUAACAUACAAGACACUAUAUUAAUUAUGAAGUUGUUGGGUAGCUCUGACUUAAUUAUUAACCCAUGAUUACUAAUAUAUAUUUUUAUAAGGUCUUAUCUUACCAAGAAAGCCAACUUGCACCACCCUCCCCUUCUGGGAUCACAUGGCAACUCUCCACUCUUGAUUACACUUCCCAGAAUCCUCCUUGACUCCUAGUCCCACCUAUCUUGCUUCCCUAUUGGCCAACAGUGCUUUAUUUAUCAACUAAUAGGACAAACAUAUACACACAAGGACUUCCCCUAUCAGGACAGGAUCAGGUGAAGGUGCUUGAGACAGAGAUGAGGGUGGGCACUUAGACAUUCCUCUGUAUCUUUUGUAUCUGAGAUGCUUUCUGGAUUGGUCAGAAUCAGGCCUAGAGUCUGUCAUUUAGCAAGUUUAUCACAUCAAAUGGCAAAUAAAACUGUAUUGAUUUUGUUUUGUUUUUGCUUUUGUCUUAAAACAAUAAAUUAUUCUG